AUCAGGCUUUGAAGAUAAGAACCAGCCAGGUGCAAUAAAUAUGAACGAAGUUAAAAACCACCUAGAAAAGUACCUUCCAGGAGGUUUUCUCCUUUUGCUGCUGAUGAAAACUCACUUAAAUUUUCUGUUGUCCAGACUUCUCCACCCAAAUGCGCUUCAUUGGCAGACUCACUCAAAGGAAAGCCUAGUUCUUGUUGAAGGUUCAUAAAAGAGAGUAGCCAUUAGAUAGCCCUUCAAAGUAGAGUAUUGCCUUCUAGGAGAGUUCUUCUCAAUGUUCUCCAUCUCACGCGCCACUUCAAAUAUGGCACUCAAGAUACCUCUGUCAAACUGUUGUGCUUCAAUCACAUCAUCGAGUUGAUACUUUACCCCUACUUGAAAUGAACAUAUAUGGUUUUUCAAAGCUUACUGCAUUGCACUGGUUUUCA